AGCAGAAGUCGCUUGAAAUAUGUAUAAUGCCUCCUCUCACCCUCAUCUCACACAUAUGUCACACACACACACACAACACACAUUUCACAUUUCUAGGUAUAUAAAUGGUCAGGUAGCUUUCUUCUAAACACAGAAAAGGUAAACUUUGCAGAAAUAACUAUUUCCUACAUGAGCGUCUUUCCCUCCCACCUCUUCUCUGCAAUCCCUAGAUUUAAGGGAUUAAUUACUGGGCAGACCAUACAUCAGUAUCUCUGGACACCAGGAAACAGCCUAUAUAGAAUUGGAAGAAGAGAGAGAAGGAAAAUGAGCAGCUAAAUUGUGGUCACGAAAUACAAGACCCUAUGGAGAAGACUCCCACAGCUGAGGCUGUCACACAGGAGCCACAUGCUUGUCAUGGCUGCCUAGGAUCUGCUGUUCCUGACAUGUUCUUGUUUUAGAAUGUGAGGGGGUGGAGGCAAAGAGUGAAAGGUGACUGGGAGGUAAGAGUCACACAAGUUUACCUGAGUGAGAGCAGCAAAGUGUUCGUGGGAAGUUAGGUUGCGAAAAGGAUAAAGCCAGAUGGCAGGACCUCAACUUCCUGGAGGCCAUGUUUUUCUGGAAAAGAAGCCUUUGCAGAAACAAAUGAGGUUGACAGAGAAAGUCUCAGCAAUAACAAUUUUCGUGUCCAAGGCUGUGGCAAUUUGUUGAUAAUCUGUGUUAAAAAAGAAAUUUGAGUUUCUCAAGAGAGAAGGCUGAGAGGAUGUCUUAAUUACUAUCUUCAGUGUAUGAGGGAUGGUUAUAGGGUUUGGAAGAUGACAACCAGCUGUUCUCUGUCUCCAAAAAAGAAAAACAAGAGAACAUGAAAUUGCAAAGUGGCACGGGCUUAGAUUGGAUAGAAGAGAGAGCAUGGUUAUUUAUUAU
rnacentral:lncRNA from 1 species